rnacentral:lncRNA from 1 species
GGACCAGACACUGCACCCUGGACAGGUAGGGACCUGACAUGACACGCACCCUGGACAGGUAGGGACCUGACACUGCACCCUGGACAAGUAGGGACCAGACACUGCACCCUGGACAGGUAGGGACCAGACACUGCACCCUGGACAGGUAGGGACCAGACACUGCACCCUGGGUAGGUAGGGACCAGACACUGCACCCUGGGUAGGUAGGGACCAGACACUGCACCCUGGGCAGGUAGGGACCAGACACUGCACCCUGGGUAGGUAGGGACCAGACACUGCACCCUGGGUAGGUAGGGACCAGACACUGCACCCUGGGUUGGUAGGGACCAGACACUGCACCCUGGGUUGGUAGGGACCAGACACUGCAC